AGGGUCUCCUAUUUCAUAUUUAUAGGAUUAAAAAAAAAAAGAAAGCAACCCGAUAUCUGGGUAUGCUAUUAUCUGAUCUUAAGACCCUCAAGCAAUUAAUGGGGGAAAAAAAGGAAUCACAGCUGCUCAAAAAAAGAAUUCUUGAAGGGUGGACUUACCCGUUUUGAAACAGAAGAGACUUUAACAGAGACCAGAAGCCUGAAAAUAUAGCAAGUUAGCCUCUUUUCCUAGGUUUUUUUCCUCUUUAAUUUCGGGCAUGGAGGCUCGAGAAAAA
rnacentral:misc_RNA from 1 species